rnacentral:misc_RNA from 1 species
AUUACCCAUUGGCCAAGGAGGCUUUGGCUGUAUAUAUCUUGCUGAUAUGAAUUCUUCAGAGUCAGUUGGCAGUGAUGCACCUUGUGUUGUAAAAGUGGAACCCAGUGACAAUGGACCUCUUUUUACUGAAUUAAAGUUCUACCAACGAGCUGCAAAACCAGAGCAAAUUCAGAAAUGGAUUCGUACCCGUAAGCUGAAGUACCUGGGUGUUCCUAA